CCUACGGGAGGCAGCAGUGAGGAAUAUUGGUCAAUGGUCUGGAGACUGAACCAGCCAAGCCGCGUGAGGGAUGAAGGUACAGAGUAUCGUAAACCUCUUUUGUCAGGGAACAAAGGCGGGGACGUGUCCCCGGAUGAGUGUACCCGAAGAAAAAGCAUUGGCUUACUCCCUGCCAGCAGCCGCGGUAAUACGGAGGAUGCGAGUGUUAUCCGGAUUUAUUGGGUUUAAAGGGUGCGCAGGCGGUCUUUUAAGUCAGCGGUAAAAGCCCGGGGCCAAACCCCGUCCCGCCGUUGAAACUGGCAGUCUCGAGUUGGAGAGAAGUAUGCGGAAUGCGCGGUGUAGCGGUGAAAUGCAUAGAUAUCGCGCAGAACUCCGAUUGCGAAGGCAGCAUGCCGGCUCCACACUGACGCUGAGGCACGAAAGCGUGGGUAUCGAACAGGAUUAGAUACCCCGGUAGUC
rnacentral:rRNA from 1 species